AAAUGCUGUCAGAGAGCAAGAAUCACUGAAACAUGAUGGACUACAAAUCUGGGUUGUUAAUUUUUAUCAUCUGCUUUACAGGCAUUUAUUGUCAGACUCUGACAGAAUCUGAACCAGCUGUGAAAAGACCAGGAGAAUCUCACAAACUGACCUGCACAGCCUCUGGUUUCACAUUCAGCAGCUACUGGAUGGCCUGGAUCAGACAGGCUCCUGGAAAAGGACCGGAGUGGAUCGCUUUUAUCAGCAGUGGCAGUGGUAGUAGCAAGUACUACUCACAGUCAGUCCAGGGCAGGUUCACCAUCUCCAGAGACAAUGGAAGAGAUCAGCUGUAUCUGCAGAUGAACAACCUGAGAACAGAAGAUUCUGCUGUUUAUUACUGCGCUCGAGACACACAGUGACUGAAGUUGUUUAAGCAGCUGUACAAAAACCUCAAUCCACUCAAAGUUAUCUAGUGGAUUGUUUUAUUUUCUUUGUUAGACUUGUCUGUAAAACCGACAGUUCUUUAGUUUAU